GAAGCGAACAAAAUUCAGUCCUUUUCUUCUUUCGUUGGAAGUCUCUGAUUGAUUGAGAAGAAUUCUUCGUAGAUUUCGGAGCUCGUUUUCUGUCACCCUCCUCAAAAUAUCUACAGGAUUCGUGGUUUGAAGGUUGUUGCUCAAGAAGGCAAAAGACUGCUGUUGAUUACCCUGCUCCAAAAUACUCUUCUCAGAAUACGGAAAGAUAAAAGGUUGAAAGGAAGAGUGAAGUGGAGAAGGGCAGUCUCCCCCCACCCCCACUAAAAAAAAAAGAAAAAAAAACGGGUUCCAGUAUGUUUACGCCUGCCGAAUAUCUUGAGGUCUCGAGUGGAAUACCAUUAUGAAAUUAAUUCUUGGAUAUAAAGAAUGGCGAAAUGUUUUUGAUAGUGAAUAAACAUCGGCUGAAGAGGUAGGAAGUCUCCUGGUAACGUCUGUUUCGGUAAAGAUGGAGGAAGUUACGUAAAGCCUUAGGAACAACAAACUUGAAAAGACUUAAUCGAAAAAUGUCUUGCAAGAAGUGAGCUGCUACCGAGGAAAUGGCCGACUGCAAGAGCAUUUGGAGCAAGCUACUUAUAAGAGCGCAUAAUGCAAUGUCGGGAGGCGUCAGACCAGAAGGGCGCUGCUGCUGUUUAUAGGGUGAUCGUUCCAAGAAGUUGACAGAAAUGGAGUAGGGCUGUUAGAGGUAAGACAUGUUAAGCUGCAGUCCAGAGAGAAGCAAUUUAGCAAGACAGGAAAAGCAGCAAAUGAGUGAUAGCAAAGAGGAGGGAAGUCACGAGAAGUAACAGCCUGGAGUUGAGCGGGUUGCACAAGAAGAGAUUAUUUCUAAACUGAUGAAGCAGCUGCAAGAAAAGAGAACAAGUUGUUUGUAAUUAGUAAACCAAGAGAGGAAAGUGACCCUAGUAUCCAGUUAUCGUGAAAUAAAUAUCAAGAACCCAAACCAAAACAGAAAAUAAUGGGGAAUCGGAUUAAAACAACCUCAAAAUUAAUGCUGUAAUCUUAACCAGUUUCUUCCAGUUUAGUGAAAAAUAAUUUAAUUAUUUACUUCCAUAACAAGUGUUCUGUUUAAAUAGCCAUUUUGGUUUAUGAAUCUUAAAUGAAUGUUUUUAGAGUAACAGUUAAAAAUAAUCCUCGGUCUUUGGUUUCCUUAUUUCUUUUAAUCCUCAUUCUUUGUGUUCCUUAUAGUUGCCCCUUGAAUUGUUUUUAAAACUGAGUAUAAGUUAAAGAAUUAAUCCUUCAAAUUUUCUAUUAUAAUAUACAUUACAAUCAUCUCUAGUCUCUUUCUUCGAAUCUUCACCGAUCUUAUUGUAUUCCAUAGAUUUUUCUGUAGUGUACUAGUCUGGGAUUAAAGUAUCACUUAAAAUCCCUGGAAUCUAAGAUAGUUAACUUCAUCUUCCUUCAUAAUUUAACUUGGUCGCCGUCGGUGAUUCACCUGAGGAAAAAUUUAAUCUAUUUUAAACCAACCGAAUGAGUUUUAAUACUAACAAAGUGAACUUAUGUUGAAGUAUGCUUUUGGCAAGCGAAAACCGUAUUAAAUUUCAAUUUAUAAUAAGGUUUUUA